UAAUACGAGGGAUGCAAGCGUUAUCCGGAAUUAUUGGGCGUAAAGCGUCCGCAGGUGGUUAUACAAGUCUGCCGUCAAAGCGUGGAGCUUAACUCCAUACCGGCGGUGGAAACUGUAUGACUAGAGGUCAGUAGGGGUCACGGGAAUUCCCAGUGUAGCGGUGAAAUGCGUAGAUAUUGGGAAGAACACCAGCGGCGAAAGCGCGUGACUGGGCUGAUUCUGACACUCAUGGACGAAAGCUAGGGGAGCGAAAGGG
rnacentral:rRNA from 1 species